UAUUUAAAUUCCAGGCGCUCGUCGAUCAAGGUGACGCGCGUCGCCACUAAUGUAUUGGCCGAGCAAACAAUGAGCUGGGAGGCAGACGGCGGCGGACAGCACCGGGGUCGCAUGACGAGCGGGGGAAUGUCAGACACGGCGUCUUCUAACCCCACGCUGCGCGCUCUCCAGCCCGGGGAAAAGAUUAACGCUUCACCCUCUGCAACCUCCCCACGAGGACGACCCAGCGCCCUGACCUCAGAAUCUCCAUGAAGGACCCGGGUGACAUUUUUCUUAUUAUUAUGGAUGCAGAGGAGGAGGAGAGGAGAGGAGAGGAGGAAGGCCACCGAGAGCUUUACUUCACCUCGAAUCAAGAGGAAGGAAAAGAAAAAAAUAAUCAAUUAGUGUUUAUUCAACAUUUGAAUUUACGGCCAUUUUAUUUUUCUAAUGUUCAUAUUAAAUAUAUUAAAUAUGCAUCUGGUUUCACUGUAAUUUGUGUUGGAUUUACCAAUUUCACGAACGCUUUAUUUUGUUUGACUGCUUUACAUUUUAUUUAUCAGCCUUCUCUCGUAUUUCUAAUUUACAAUGGUAUAAAAAAAAUGUGUUUGUAUAUUUUGUAUGAUCACCUCUUCAGUUCUGCACCGUCAUGAAUAAUAUGACAACAAUAAUAAAACGUAAAAAAUGCAAAAACUGGAAAUAUAUUUUGACAUUUUUUUUAUUCAAGAAAUUGUCCCGGGUUUAAUUUCCGAUGUGUCCAAAUUAAAACUACGAGGUUUUUGCUGCGUUUAUAUUUUCAAUUCUUUUUAUUUAUCUCUUCGAACUGGAGCAGCAUGGAAUGUGUGACAUCAAGAAAGGAAAAAAUAAAAAUAAAAAAAAGAUGAUGUCUGUUUUUUUUUUUUUUUUAAUUUCUUCAAUAAAGAAACUGCUAACGUGUGUCCUUCUUUCCACCCUUAUUGCAUGACUGAUUGACUUUACAUUCGCUGAGGGGGGAG